rnacentral:rRNA from 1 species
AGGAAUAUUGGUCAAUGGGCGCGAGCCUGAACCAGCCAAGUAGCGUGAAGGAUGAAGGUCCUAUGGAUUGUAAACUUCUUUUAUACGGGAAUAAAGUGGUCCACGUGUGGGCUUUUGCAUGUACCGUAUGAAUAAGCAUCGGCUAACUCCGUGCCAGCAGCCGCGGUAAUACGGAGGAUGCGAGCGUUAUCCGGAUUUAUUGGGUUUAAAGGGAGCGCAGACGGGGGAUUAAGUCAGUUGUGAAAGUUUGCGGCUCAACCGUAAAAUUGCAGUUGAUACUGGUUCCCUUGAGUGCAGUUGAGGCAGGCGGAAUUCGUGGUGUAGCGGUGAAAUGCAUAGAUAUCACGAAGAACCCCGAUUGCGAAGGCAGCCUGCUAAGCUGUAACUGACGUUGAGGCUCGAAAGUGUGGGUAUCAAACAGGAUUAGAUACCCUGGUAGUCCACACGGUAAACGAUGGAUACUCGCUGUUGGCGAUAUACUGUCAGCGGCCAAGCGAAAGCAUUAAGUAUCCCACCUGGGGAGUACGCCGGCAACGGUGAAACUCAAAGGAAUUGACGGGGGCCCGCACAAGCGGAGGAACAUGUGGUUUAAUUCGAUGAUACGCGAGGAACCUUACCCGGGCUUAAAUUGCAGACGAAUUACUUGGAAACAGGUAAGCCGCAAGGCGUCUGUGAAGGUGCUGCAUGGUUGUCGUCAGCUCGUGCCGUGAGGUGUCGGCUUAAGUGCCAUAACGAGCGCAACCCUCGUGGCCAGUUACUAACAGGUAACGCUGAGGACUCUGGCCAGACUGCCAUCGUAAGAUGCGAGGAAGGUGGGGAUGACGUCAAAUCAGCACGGCCCUUACGUCCGGGGCUACACACGUGUUACAAUGGGAGGUACAGAAGGCAGCUACCCGGCGACGGGAUGCCAAUCUCCAAAGCCUCUCUCAGUUCGGACUGGAGUCUGCAACCCGACUCCACGAAGCUGGAUUCGCUAGUAAUCGCGCAUCAGCCACGGCGCGGUGAAUACGUUCCCG